GACGAACGCUGGCGGCGUGCUUAACACAUGCAAGUCGAACGGAAAGGCCCUGCUUUUGUGGGGUGCUCGAGUGGCGAACGGGUGAGUAACACGUGAGUAACCUGCCCUUGACUUUGGGAUAACUUCAGGAAACUGGGGCUAAUACCGGAUAGGAGCUCCUGCUGCAUGGUGGGGGUUGGAAAGUUUCGGCGGUUGGGGAUGGACUCGCGGCUUAUCAGCUUGUUGGUGGGGUAGUGGCUUACCAAGGCUCUGACGGGUAGCCGGCCUGAGAGGGUGACCGGCCACAUUGGGACUGAGAUACGGCCCAGACUCCUACCGGGGGCAGCAGUGGGGAGUAUUGCACAAUGGGCGGAAGCCAGAUGCAGCAACGCCGCGUGCGGGAUGACGGCAUUCGGGUUGUAAACCGCUUUCGCCUGUGACGAAGCGUGAGUGACGGUAAUGGGUAAAGAAGCACCGGCUAACUACGUG
rnacentral:rRNA from 1 species